rnacentral:rRNA from 1 species
UUGACCUCAAAUCAGGUAGGACUACCCGCUGAACUUAAGCAUAUCAAUAAGCGGAGGAAAAGAAACUAACAAGGAUUCCCUUAGUAACUGCGAGUGAAGAGGGAAGAGCUCAAAUUUGAAAUCUGGUAGUGUUCUACUGCCCGAAUUGUAAUCUAGAGAAGUGUAUCCCGUGCUGGACCAUGUACAAGUCUCCUGGAAUGGAGCAUCAUAGAGGGUGAGAAUCCUGUCUUUGACAUGGACUACCAGUGCAAUUGUGGUGUGCUCUCAAAGAGUCGAGUUGUUUGGGAAUGCAGCUCUAAAUGGGUGGUAAA